AUUGAACGCUGGCAGCAGGCCUAACACAUGCAAGUCGAACGGACCCUUCGGGGUUAGUGGCGGACGGGUGAGUAACACGUGGGAACGUGCCUUUAGGUUCGGAAUAGCUCCUGGAAACGGGUGGUAAUGCCGAAUGUGCCCUUCGGGGGAAAGAUUUAUCGCCUUUAGAGCGGCCCGCGUCUGAUUAGCUAGUUGGUGAGGUAAAGGCUCACCAAGGCGACGAUCAGUAGCUGGUCUGAGAGGAUGACCAGCCACAUUGGGACUGAGACACGGCCCAAACUCCUACGGGAGGCAGCAGUGGGGAAUCUUGCGCAAUGGGCGAAAGCCUGACGCAGCCAUGCCGCGUGAAUGAUGAAGGUCUUAGGAUUGUAAAAUUCUUUCACCGGGGACGAUAAUGACGGUACCCGGAGAAGAAGCCCCGGCUAACUUCGUGCCAGCAGCCGCGGUAACAC
rnacentral:rRNA from 1 species